rnacentral:sRNA from 1 species
AAUUAUAGAAACACUAAAAAAACUAUUUAUUGUUUCUAAGCAAUAUUUUGUUGGUUGUAGCUUCUUUUGGGAGUAAAUGGGUAUAAGUGUUGGCUAAACACUUGUAAUCCAUCUCUAAAUCUAUAAUUAGUCAAAUGCAUUGGAUAAUAAAACAUUUUGACCAUCGACACACUAACAAAGCUAUUUACUGCUUCUAAGCAAAUUUUUGUUGGUUUUAGCCUCUUUUGGGAGAAAAUGGGUAUAAUUGUUGUCUAAACACUCCUAAUCCAUCUCUAACUCUAUAAUUAGUCCAAUGCAUGCGAUUGUGAAACAUUUUGACUAUAGAAACACUAACAAAUCUAUUGACUGCUUUUAAGCAAAUUUUU